rnacentral:rRNA from 1 species
GUGGGGAAUUUUGGACAAUGGGCGAAAGCCUGAUCCAGCCAUGCCGCGUGCAGGAUGAAGGCCUUCGGGUUGUAAACUGCUUUUGUACGGAACGAAAAGACUCCUUCUAAUAAAGGGGGUCCAUGACGGUACCGUAAGAAUAAGCACCGGCUAACUACGUGCCAGCAGCCGCGGUAAUACGUAGGGUGCAAGCGUUAAUCGGAAUUACUGGGCGUAAAGCGUGCGCAGGCGGUUAUAUAAGACAGAUGUGAAAUCCCCGGGCUCAACCUGGGAACUGCUUUUGUGACUGUAUAGCUAGAGUACGGUAGAGGGGGAUGGAAUUCCGCGUGUAGCAGUGAAAUGCGUAGAUAUGCGGAGGAACACCGAUGGCGAAGGCAAUCCCCUGGACCUGUACUGACGCUCAUGCACGAAAGCGUGGGGAGCAAACAGGAUUAGAAACCCGGGUAGUCC